rnacentral:rRNA from 1 species
UACAGGGGGGUGCAAACGUUGCUCGGAAUUAUUGGGCGUAAAGCGCACGUAGGCGCCUGGUAUGUCGGAUGUGAAAGCCCUCGGCUCAACUGAGGAAGUGCAUCCGAAACUGGCAGGCUAGAGUACUAAAGAGGGUCGCGGAAUUCCCGGUGUAGAGGUGAAAUUCGUAGAUAUCGGGAGGAACACCGGGUGGCGAAGGCGGCGACCUGGGUAGAUACUGACGCUGAGGUGCGAAAGCGGUGGGGGAGCAAACAGGG